AUAGGGAAAAGACAAGCCUAGCAAGGCAAAAAACAGUCACAUGAAAACAAGGAUUUCGCAGUGAACGAACAAGUAAUGGGCUUCAGGAAACCGGAGAAGAAAUGGUAUAAUGCAACAGUCUUAGAAAAAAACUAAAUCAGGUUACAAAGACGUAUUUGCAGAUGACAACUUAGUAAGAGUGUUAAGUCUACAAAAUCUACGAAAAAAGACAUCGAGAUGAAUUCAGCUAAAGGCGUUUUGUUUAUAUAUGAACUUACAAGAAACUCACAAGUCAUCUGAUGAUAUUCUCAAAACAGGAUAUGAUAAACAAUAUCAACAACAAAACGAAGCUGUAUUUCCUUGUUCUUGAACAAAAGACAUUUAGCAUCAGUCAAAUGAUCCUAUAAAUUUA